rnacentral:rRNA from 1 species
ACGAACGCUGGCGGCGUGCUUAACCCAUGCCAGUCGAACGGAAAGGCCCUGCUUUUGUGGGGUGCUCGAGUGGCGAACGGGUGAGUAACACGUGAGUAACCUGCCCUUGACUUUGGGAUAACUUCAGGAAACUGGGGCUAAUACCGGAUAGGAGCUCCUGCUGCAUGGUGGGGGUUGGAAAGUUUCGGCGGUUGGGGAUGGACUCGCGGCUUAUCAGCUUGUUGGUGGGGUAGUGGCUUACCAAGGCUUUGACGGGUAGCCGGCCUGAGAGGGUGACCGGCCACAUUGGGACUGAGAUACGGCCCAGACUCCUACGGGAGGCAGCAGUGGGGAAUAUUGCACAAUGGGCGGAAGCCUGAUGCAGCAACGCCGCGUGCGGGAUGACGGCCUUCGGGUUGUAAACCGCUUUCGCCUGUGACGAAGCGUGAGUGACGGUAAUGGGUAAAGAAGCACCGGCUAACUACG